rnacentral:tRNA from 1 species
UGGCACUAGCUUAACCGGUAAAGCAUUCCGUUGUGAGCGGAAGUAACAGGGUUCGAGUCCCGGUGUCAACCA